GUUUAUAAUUCUAGCCUUUCGGCCAAGUAACAUUCAUUGACAUAAAGAGUGUGUAAUAUAGAGAUCCUGACAAGUUCGUAAAAACUCAUCGUUCUCCCUAGAAGGUGCACAGGUGUUGAUAAGGAUUAUGAGAGUAAGCGUGCACAAUUCCGUGAAGACAGCACAACAAACUCCCUAAAUUCAUUAAUGAUCCUUCCGCAGGUUCACCUACGGAAA
rnacentral:misc_RNA from 1 species